UUGGAGGGCAAGUCUGGUGCCAGCAGCCGCGGUAAUUCCAGCUCCAAUAGCGUAUAUUAAAGUUGUUGCAGUUAAAAAGCUCGUAGUUGAACUUCGGGAUCAAUGGAUUGGUCAUGCCGAUGGUAUGUACUGGUCAUAUUGGUUCUCACCUUCUAAGGAACCAUAAUGUCAUUUAUUUGAUGUUGUGGGGAAUUAGGACUGUUACCUUGAAAAAAUUAGAGUGUUUAAAGCAGGCUAACGCUUGAAUACAUUAGCAUGGAAUAAUGAAAUAGGACAUCGCAUUCUAUUUUGUUGGUUUCUAGGAUCGAUGUAAUGAUUAAUAGGGAUAGUUGGGGGCAUUAGUAUUCAAUUGUCAGAGGUGAAAUUCUUGGAUUUAUUGAAGACUGACUACUGCGAAAGCAUUUGCCAAGGAUGUUUUCAUUAAUCAAGAACGAAAGUUAGGGGAUCGAAGACGAUCAGAUACCGUCGUAGUCUUAACCAUAAACUAUGCCGACUAGGGAUCGGAUGAUGUUAAUUUUUUAAUGACUCAUUCGGCGCCUUACGGGAAAC
rnacentral:rRNA from 1 species